AUACGGAGGGGGCUAGCGUUGUUCGGAAUUACUGGGCGUAAAGGGCGCGUAGGCGGAUUGUCAAGUCAGAGGUGAAAGCCCUGGGCUCAACCUGGGAACUGCCUUUGAAACUAACGGUCUAGAGGCCGAGAGAGGAUAGCGGAAUUCCCAGUGUAGAGGUGAAAUUCGUAGAUAUUGGGACGAACACCAGUGGCGAAGGCGGCUAUCUGGCUCGGUACUGACGCUGAGGCGCGAAAGCGUGGGGAGCAAACAGGAUUAGAAACCCCAGUAGUCC
rnacentral:rRNA from 1 species